CGGAAUUCUCCACGGCCGUCCAGGUGGAGCUAGAGAGCGCGGGGGCGGCUUCCAGAGCUCUCCCAGUGGAGAUCGAAGUAAAGCCAUUCUCCUCCAAAGAAGAGCCAUCGCCAUACGACUCGGAGGAUUUGCAGCAGCACCUCCGCCUGGAGCUCCCGGAGGCCGUGAUCUCGGCGGAGGCCCUGUUCCUGGCCAGGAGCGUCGACCUCAAGUCCCU
rnacentral:lncRNA from 1 species